UACGAGGGGGGCAAGCGUCGUUCGGAAUUAUUGGGCGUAAAGGGUGCGUAGGCGGUGCGGUAAGUCUGUUGUGAAAUCUCCGGGCUCAACUCGGAGUCUGCAUCAGAAACUGCCGUGCUGGAGUGUGGGAGAGGUGAGUGGAAUUCCCGGUGUAGCGGUGAAAUGCGUAGAGAUCGGGAGGAACACCUGCGGCGAAAGCGGCUCACUGGACCAUAACUGACGCUGAUGCACGAAAGCUAGGGGAGCAAACAGG
rnacentral:rRNA from 1 species